rfam:Schistocephalus solidus strain NST_G2 genome assembly, scaffold: SSLN_scaffold0010514
GGCCUCGUAGUUCAGUUGGCUAGANCAGUUAGCUAGACCGUUGGCUGUAAUAAAGCCUUCCCCAUGCUGGCGUGGGUUCGAAUCCCACCGAGGCCG